rnacentral:rRNA from 1 species
UACGUAAGGUGCAAGCGUUGUCCGGAAUUAUUGGGCGUAAAGAGCUCGUAGGCGGUCUGUCGCGUCUGCUGUGAAAACUCAGGGCUUAACCCUGAGCUUGCAGUGGUACGGGCAGACUAGAGUGCGGUAGGGGAGACUGGAAUUCCUGGUGUAGCGGUGAAAUGCGCAGAUAUCAGGAGGAACACCGGUGGCGAAGGCGGGUCUCUGGGCCGUAACUGACGCUGAGGAGCGAAAGCAUGGGAGCGAACAGG